GCCGCCAAUAGGCCGCUUGGUUCCCCGGCCUGUAAUAAGCGGACCGGACCCGGGUGCGAUUCCCGGCGGCUCCACCAUUUCCUCCCGUGUAUCGGCGGGCGGUGCGGGGCCGACUAGCAUCGACGGACGUGUAAAGAGGAUUGCUUUCGCUCGUCCUGGCCCACCGCAUCGGGCCAUUUUCUAACUGCGAACGAUAACUUCGCUGGAGAAGUCGCUCUCGCCGCGUAAGCGGUUCGAGUGAUUUCGAACACUUAAGUCCUCGGGGAUCAGUUCCCGGGGCGGGGCCGCCAGGGGGCCCGCCAACAGAA
rnacentral:tmRNA from 1 species